AGUGAACGCUGGCGGUAGGCCUAACACAUGCAAGUCGAACGGCAGCACAGUAAGAGCUUGCUCUUACGGGUGGCGAGUGGCAGACGGGUGAGGAAUACAUCGGAAUCUACUUUUUCGUGGGGGAUAACGUAGGGAAACUUACGCUAAUACCGCAUACGACCUACGGGUGAAAGCAGGGGAUCUUCGGACCUUGCGCGAUUGAAUGAGCCGAUGGCGGAUUAGCUAGUUGGCGGGGUAAAGGCCCACCAAGGCGACGAUCCGUAGCUGGUCUGAGAGGAUGAUCAGCCACACUGGAACUGAGACACGGUCCAGACUCCUACGGGAGGCAGCAGUGGGGAAUAUUGGACAAUGGGCGCAAGCCUGAUCCAGCCAUACCGCGUGGGUGAAGAAGGCCUUCGGGUUGUAAAGCCCUUUUGUUGGGAAAGAAAAGCAGCAGGUUAAUACCCCGCUGUUCUGACGGUACCCAAAGAAUAAGCACCGGCUAACUUCGUG
rnacentral:rRNA from 1 species